UCUCCGUUGGUGGACCAGCGGAGGGAUCAUUACAGAGUUGCAAAACUCCCAAACCAUUGUGAACGUUACCUAUCCCGUUGCUUCGGCGGGCGGCCCGGGCCCCGCGCCCGGCGCCCCCCGGCCCCCCGUGGGCGCCCGCCGGAGGUAAACCAAACCCUUGAAUUGCAUGGCCUCUCUGAGUCUUCUGUACUGAAUAAGUCAAAACUCUCAACAACGGAUCUCUUGGUUCUG
rnacentral:misc_RNA from 1 species